GGUACAGAAGUAUGUGAGACAUCACAAACAUGUUGGUGCCUGUUAUUUCAGUGGACCUGUGGAUUUUUUUGUCAGUAGACUUGAAAAGUGUACUACUGGUCUGCUGCGUGAUUCUUGAAUUCCUUUCUCUCCACAGUUGUGUUGCAGAAAGAAAGAAAAUCAAAUGCAAAAUUUAAAAACCAAAGUGUCUGGUCUGAGAGCAUUAAGAAUUAGGUUUAGAGAUAUUUCAUUCCAAGAAUAACAUUAUGACACCAAGUCAUAGUCAUUAGUCUCAUGUACACAGUAUAAUAUACAUAUUACUUCAGCAAGUUCUGUCCUGUGUGGAUUAAGAGCAUCCCUUCAGUUUAACCCUCAGUUCAGUAAAACAUUUCUAUUCUGAAUGAUAGUUAAGUUUAAAUUUAGACAUAUCUGCAAGUCUAUUGUUUUUGAUGUCUGAGGUUAAUGAGGUUAACAAAAGGCUGAAGUGUUGUCCUGAACCAGAGUUUGAAUUGACAAUGUGUAACUAAGUACAUGUGCACACCAACAUUUCUAUUUUAAAGUUUCCCCAGGAAAUAGACAAGGAAAUAAUUUAAUAAGUGUUCAUCAGGAAAUCUGCUUUAUUAUGACUAUGUCUUUACAGUUUAAGCCUAAACUUAAUUCUGCAUUAGGUGUUUGUUGAAAUUCUGAUUUAAGUAGGAGCACAGUCCAUGACUUUAUGCAUCUGUCAGGACAGAUUUCUGAAUUGAGAUAGUCAAGUCACACUGUUGCCUGACAAAGGAUAUCAGAAAGCUGUUAGACUUAAAAAUGAACAACUCCAUAAAGCUGGAGUUUGUCAUGGAAACAUCAUCACAUCAACUAAUUGGCUUUACUCAUUCACCACAUUAGAGUAAUUAUUUGUAAUUGUUAUUAUUGUAGCAUAUGUCCACCAUUUAAGCAGCGCAUAUUCCUAGGAAGAGCUGGGUCAUUCAUCAGAGAAACUGAGAAAUUGAAAAUGUCAAAUCAGGCAGGAAGAUGGAAUUAUUUAAUUUGCUUUUAAAUGAAUUUAUAAUUUUUUCUCUUACUUCCUCAUACAGGCAACAGGGAAGCAAGCUAACACUAUCUCCUGAUUUCACAAGAAAAAAGUCAGAAAUACCACAACAACUAAAAGACAUCUUGAAUAAAGAAACACUUCAGUGGACCCAAUCUUCAGGGGUGCAUUCAGUUUCUCUGCCACAGGUACCUCUCAGCCAGCAAGGCACACUCAGGUAUAGACAGGCGUACCCCAGUCGUGUGGCACCCGUGAAUAGAUCCAGUGAGCCUGUGCAGCUGUGUUUUGAUCAGCAGAGAGGUUUCCUGGCAUCCGAGAACUGAAAUCACCUUGUGGGUCACCACACCUCACUGGAGGUUUCCCUGGCUUAAUGAGCAAUUCUGAAACCAUGGGAAGUACCAGACGAUGGGGGUCAGUGUACAUUCUGAUAUUUGAAAGCCACUCCAUAGCAUCACAAGAGGAUUCUUGGCACCUGCCUAGUUAAACUGAAUGUCCAAUGUUAUCUCUCCAGGCAAGUAAGAUUCUGGCAAUCACUGUAGUCCUAUUUCGCUCCUUCUCAGUCUUUUUGACACCAACACAUUAAUUCUCCCAAGCUCCUUUGGUAUGAUUGAUAAUAUUGAAUAUUUCUUUUAACCUUCUACUGCCAUUCCUUGGCUAGGUGGUAGUUUUUGUGUUUGGAUGUUAAUCUCCAGCAUGCAGUAGCACAUCUUCUAAUCACUUACUCAUUAUGGAGCUCGUUUGUAAAAUGUUGCUGCUUAAUUUAUGACUGCCUGUGAAGCCCCACCUACCACUGGCCCUCCAACACUCCCACUGUCAGAGGUCACAUAAAGAAAAUCAUUGCUUUAUACAGAAAAUCCUUCUAGUUUAACACAAGGGAUGGCAGUCCUUGGACAAAAUUUGUCUAUGUGGUUCCAUGUGAUGCACUGGAAAGAAAUACAUUCUGGAAAGGGUAUAAAUAAAUAAGUUCUCUUGUUCA
ensembl:lncRNA